CCCCUCUCUCUCGUUUUCGUUUCUCUUGAUUUCGAAAAAGCUGAGGUUUGGACUGGUUUCUCUCUUGCUUUCAUUUCUUUUACAGUUUCAUCCAUCAUCUCUUCGUUUCAUUUCUUUUACAAUUUUAUCCAUCAUCUAUUCGAUUGGUUUCUCGAUUUCGUUUCUUUUACACUUUUGUCUAUCUUGGUUUCGAAAAAGCUUUGGUUUUGUUUCUCUCCCGCUCAUAUCGUAGCAAAGUCUCAGAUUUGUGUCGCUUACCGUCAUUGUUGAUCAGUUGCCGCAACCCACGCCAUCCUCAGCUGCUACCCACAUUUCAGCAUCGAAUUUGUUUUUUAGCUACAUUAUGAGAUUAGCAACCUUGCCAAAGAUGCAUGCAAACCUCUAGACAAGCUGGUGCACAGAUAUAAGUACGAGCUCUCCAACCUCACAUUUCCACUAUCCACUUGUGAACUAAAGAUAUUAUAACGUAAAGCAAAAAAGAAUGCUAGUUGAGAUGGUGCAACAACAACGUAAGGUAGAGCUGGGAAUCUAAAAACGAUGUUCUGUUGGGGUGAUUUUGUAUAAGCUGAAGAUGCAUUUCUUUUUGUAUUUGGGAGUGAUUGUAGGAAGGUGAAGUUGCAUUUCUUUUAUGUAUUUGGGAGUGGGUUGACUAAAGAAACUUGUUGAACUCAUGAACUCUGUCACUCUUGUUCAGAAAAAUAUUUUUAUAUAUUUUAUGAAAAAAUAUCUGCACAAUGGCUA